rfam:Aedes aegypti strain Liverpool supercont1.134 genomic scaffold, whole genome shotgun sequence.
CCUCUCAUGGCGUAGUGGUUAACGCGCCCAAAUAGAGAAUCGGGGAGUCGUGAGUUCGAUUCUCACUGAGAAGA